rnacentral:rRNA from 1 species
AUUGAACGCUGGCGGCAGGCCUAACACAUGCAAGUCGAGCGGACGAAGGGAGCUUGCUCCUGGAUUCAGCGGCCGACGGGUGAGUUAUGCCUAGGAAUCUGCCUGGUAGUGGGGGAUAACGUCAGGAAACGGGCGCUAAUACCGCAUACGUCCUGAGGGAGAAAGUGGGGGAUCUUCGGACCUCACGCUAUCAGAUGAGCCUAGGUCGGAUUAGCUAGUUGGUGGGGUAAAGGCUUACCAAGGCGACGAUCCGUAACUGGUCUGAGAGGAUGAUCAGUCACACUGGAACAGAGAAACGGUCCAGACUCCUACGGGAGGACACAGUGGGGAAUCUUGCGCAAUGGGCGAAAGCCUGAUCCAGCGAUGCCGCGUGAGUGAAGAAGGUCUUCGGAUGGUAAAGCGAUGUAAGUUGGGAGGAAGGAAAGUAAGUUCAUACCUGGCUGUUUUGACGGUACCAACAGAAUAAGCCCCGGCUAACUUCGUG